GCGGGGAUGCUGGAAUCGGCAGACAGGCAUGAUUCAGGAUCAUGUGUGAGCAAUCGCGUGAGGGUUCAAGUCCCUUUCCCCGCACCA
rnacentral:tRNA from 1 species